GGAAUAUUGGACAAUGGGGGCAACCCUGAUCCAGCAAUGCCGCGUGUGUGAAUAAGGCCUGCGGGUUGUAAAGCACUUUCAGUAGCGAAGAAAAGCCUAGGGAUAAUACCCCUGAGUCUUGACGUUACCUACAGAAGAAGCUCCGGCUAACUCCGUGCCAGCAGCCGCGGUAAUACGGAGGGAGCGAGCGUUAAUCGGAAUUACUGGGCGUAAAGCGCGCGGAGGCGGUUGUGUAAGUCGGAUGUGAAAGCCCUGGGCUUAAACUGGGAAUUGCAUUCGAUACUGCAUAACUAGAGUAUGGUAGAGGGAAGUGGAAUUCCGGGUGUAGCGGUGAAAUGCGUAGAUAUCCGGAGGAACACCAGUGGCGAAGGCGACUUCCUGGGCCAAUACUGACGCUGAGGUGCGAAAGCGUGGGGAGCAAA
rnacentral:rRNA from 1 species